rnacentral:rRNA from 1 species
AGAACGAACGCUGGCGGCAUGCCUAAUACAUGCAAGUCGAACGAACUCUUCGGAGUUAGUGGCGCACGGGUGCGUAACGCGUGGGAAUCUGCCCCUUGGUUCGGAAUAACAGUUGGAAACGACUGCUAAUACCGGAUGAUGACGAAAGCCCAAAGAUUUAUCGCCAAGGGAUGAGCCCGCGUAGGAUUAGCUAGUUGGUGAGGUAAAGGCUCACCAAGGCAACGAUCCUUAGCUGGUCUGAGAGGAUGAUCAGCCACACUGGGACUGAGACACGGCCCAGACUCCUACGGGAGGCAGCAGUAGGGAAUAUUGGACAAUGGGCGAAAGCCUGAUCCAGCAA